UCGACCCCCGCAGUGCCGGAGUCAACACAAUAAGCAUUCCGCCUGGGGAGUACGGCCGCAAGGUUGAAACUCAAAGGAAUUGACGGGGGCCCGCACAAGCAGUGGAGUAUGUGGUUUAAUUCGACGCAACGCGAAGAACCUUACCAAGUCUUGACAUCCUGCGACGAUGCUGGAAACAGUAUUUUCCUUCGGGACGCAGAGACAGGUGGUGCAUGGUUGUCGUCAGCUCGUGUCGUGAGAUGUUGGGUUAAGUCCCGCAACGAGCGCAACCCUUAUUGUUAGUUGCUACGCAAGAGCACUCUAGCGAGACUGCCGUUGACAAAACGGAGGAAGGUGGGGAUGACGUCAAAUCAUCAUGCCCUUUAUGACUUGGGCUACACACGUACUACAAUGGCGUUAAACAAAGAGAAGCAAGACCGCGAGGUGGAGCAAAACUCAGAAACAACGUCCCAGUUCGGACUGCAGGCUGCAACUCGCCUGCACGAAGUCGGAAUUGCUAGUAAUCGUGGAUCAGCAUGCCACGGUGAAUACGUUCCCGGGCCUUGUACACACCGCCCGUCACACCAUGAGAGCCGGGGGGACCCGAAGUCGGUAGUCUAACCGCAAGGAGGACGCCGCCGAAGGUAAAACUGGUGAUUGGGGUGAAGUCGUAACAAGGUAGCCGUAGGAGAACCUGCGGCUG
rnacentral:rRNA from 1 species